rnacentral:rRNA from 1 species
CCUACGGGUGGCAGCAGUGGGGAAUUUUGCGCAAUGCUCGUAAGAGUGACGCAGCGAUGCCGCGUGAAUGACGAAGGCCUUCGGGUCGUAAAGUUCUUUCGACAGGGACGAAAAUGCCUAUAAGUAACUGUGUAUGUAUUGACGGUACCUGUAUAAGCAGCACCGGCUAACUCCGUGCCAGCAGCCGCGGUAAUACGGAGGGGGCGAGCGUUGUUCGGAAUGACUGGGCGUAAAGAGCACGUAGGCGGUGUGGUAAGUCAUUAGUCAAAGACUAGAGCUCAACUUUAGUACUGCAAGUGAUACUAGCAUACUAGAGUAUCAGAGAGGAUUGCAGAAUUCCAGGUGUAGCGGUGAAAUGCGUAGAUAUCAGGAGGAAUACCGGUAGCGAAGGCGGCAAUCUGGCUGGAAACUGACGCUGAGGUGCGAAAGCGUGGGUAGCAAACAGGAUUAGAUACCCUUGUAGUC